UACUCGAGUGGCGAACGGGUGAGUAACACGUGAGUAACCUGCCCUCCACUUUGGGAUAACUCCGAGAAAUCGGGGCUAAUACUGGAUAUGACCUUGGCCCGCAUGGGUUGUGGUGGAAAGUUUUUCGGUGGGGGAUGGGCUCGCGGCCUAUCAGUUUGUUGGUGAGGUAGUGGCUCACCAAGGCGAUGACGGGUAGCCGGCCUGAGAGGGCGACCGGCCACACUGGGACUGAGACACGGCCCAG
rnacentral:rRNA from 1 species